ACGGAAGGUCCGGGCGUUAUCCGGAUUUAUUGGGUUUAAAGGGAGCGUAGGCCGUGGAUUAAGUGUGUUGUGAAAUGUAGGCGCUCAACGUCUGACUUGCAGCGCAUACUGGUUCACUUGAGUGCGCGCAACGCGGGCGGAAUUUGUCGUGUAGCGGUGAAAUGCUUAGAUAUGACGAAGAACCCCGAUUGCGAAGGCAGCUCGCGGGAGCGCAACUGACGCUGAAGCUCGAAAGUGCGGGUAUCGAACAG
rnacentral:rRNA from 1 species